GGGUGAGUAACGCGUGGGCAACCUGCCCUGUACCGGGGGACAACAGCCAGAAAUGGCUGCUAAUACCGCAUAAGCCUGCUGUGCCGCAUGACACGGCAGGGAAAACCACGGUGGUACCGGAUGGGCCCGCGUCUGAUUAGUUAGUUGGCAGGGUAACGGCCUACCAAGACAACGAUCAGUAGCCGGCUUGAGAGAGUGGACGGCCACAUUGGGACUGAGACACGGCCCAGACUCCUGCGGGAGGCAGCAGUGGGGAAUAUUGCACAAUGGGGGGAACCCUGAUGCAGCAAUGCCGCGUGGGUGAAGGAGCACUCCGGUGCGUAAAGCCCUGUCAGCAGGGAAGAAAAUGACAGUACCUGGACAAGAAGCCCCGGCUAACUACGUGCCAGCAGCCGCGGUAAUACGUAGGGGGCAAGCGUUAUCCGGAUUUACUGGGUGUAAAGGGAGCGCAGGCGGCGUGGCAAGUCAGAUGUGAAAACCCGGGGCCCAACCCCGGGAGUGCAUUUGAAACUGCCAUGCUGGAGUGCCGGAGAGGUAAGCGGAAUUCCUAGUGUAGCGGUGAAAUGCGUAGAUAUUAGGAGGAACACCAGUGGCGGAGGCGGCUUACUGGACGGUAACUGACGCUGAGGCUCGAAAGCGUGGGGAGCAAACAGGAUUAGAUACCCUGGUAGUCCACGCCGUAA
rnacentral:rRNA from 1 species